rnacentral:tRNA from 39 species
GCUUUGUUGGCUCAGUUGGCAGAGCGUCAGUCUCAUAAUCUGAAGGUCGUGAGUUCGAGCCUCACACAGAGCA